UGUGAGGAGUCCUCCCCCUGAGGAGGAAGGAGUGGCAGAAACACAGUGUCCUGGAAUCAAAGCAGCAAUAGAAUCAAUAUAAGAUCAGGGCAAAGAUGGCAACUCAGCAGUGAAGAGAUCUCAGAGUUCCAUCACUCCUACAUGUAGCCAUCUGAGUGUCGCUGCGGCUACUGGGCAGCACCUGUAUUGCCAGUUGUAUCUGAUGGGCUGGGGAUCAGCAGCAGGAGCAUUAGGAAGAGCAUUUGGGGAGUGUCAUGGUGCUUGUCCUCGGUGUCAUUAAAUUGUUAGUGGCAACAGUAGAGGGGAAUAGCUUCAUCAGUAUUCUUUCAUGGUGAAGCCCUGCAAUGUUUUGUUUGAGGGAUCACUGGGUUUGCUUGUGUGAAAUGGCCUUUUGUUUGCUUCUGGGCUCCCUCUGGGCUGUUCUCCACAGAUGGCAAAAGCAGCAGUCGAGUUCCCCUCAGCAGGAGCCAUGACAGAUGCCCUUCCAGAACAGAACUUGAGAGCAGGUUCUGGAAGAAAGCUGUGUAACAUUGGCUAAUUUGUUGUCCUAAAACUGGUCUCUGGCAGAGAUUUGGCUCUGAACCUAUUCAGGACCUGCAGAGAGCAUUUUGAGCUUUAGAGGGCACCUCUUUAUUGGUACUUUCUGCCACACCAGGAAGACUUACUUUGCUCCAGUUUAGCACUUCCUUGGAAGCUUUUCCAAGUUCUUCUACAUCUUUUCCAGGAAAGAUACAUAUGAAUGAAUCUAAAGUUCCUCGCUAAGUAAGUGUUCAUAGCUCUUUGUCAGUCUUUGCUGUUACCUGCUGUUAUCAUACCUUGCCCCCCCCGCCCCCCUCUCCUGACAGUUCUGCCUUGGAGGCAUGUCUGUCUUCAGUACUUUCCUUCUAUGAGUCGCCUUCUGUUUUGGAGGUGUGUAGCAGAGACUGCUUCAGUGACUUGUCGCAGUGUCAGGUGCAGAGGAACAGGGCAGUGAGUUUCUUAUUCUCAGUAAAGGACAGUUUGGUUUUGUAGCUUACAAGCCAGCCUUUACGUUGUCAGAAUCGCAGUUUUCUUUCCUACCCUCUGAGGGGUAAGUUGAGUCAUCCAGGAACUUGUGGUUUGAAUGUUUAAGGACAUGUUCCAGUCAAAGAGUCUGGUUUGCAUAACUCUGCUUUACAGUCAGAUGUUACAAGAUAGCGAAAUGAAAGCCCCAAUUUAUAUAAUUAGAGUGGAAAAACAAAAUUUAAGUGAAAGAUACAGAACCUUAAAAUUACUUGGUUUUGUCCCUGCCAAUAUUGAAGAAAGGCCAUGUUACUGUAGGAAGUGGAGUCAGUUAGUAAAGACCUGUAAAUGUCAGUUUUGAUUAUUAGUGUGCAUUAUAGCCAAAAUAAAUGUGUCUUUAGUCUAGGCCACUACAGCAAAGGAAGCAUGCUGCAGCAGGAAGGGACACAACACCCUGGGGACUAGUCAGGACAAAGGUGGUGGUCUGCUUUUGGAAGUUGAUCUUGAGAUUUCUUCAUGGGUUCUCUGAGUGUAAAGUGGUUCAGUAUUUCUCGCUCUUUGCAUAUUUGUUUUACUCCAUGGCUGGCUGGGGACCUGUUUGACUCUGUUGAGGGGAAUGGCUGUGGUUGAAGGGACUUUACCCUUGCGUAUUAGAAUCACUGGCCUGUCUGUGGAUUGAGAUGGGUUCUAUGGCCCAGUGAGGAGUUGAGAAAUCUAGAACAGGAGCUCUAAAUAAGAAUGAGAGCUGUCUGUUGAGCUGGUGGCCUGGUGGGGAAGCAUGCAAUUGUCACAUGCAGGAGCUGAAACUUUUGAUCGUUUAUUACAGUGGUGAAAACUCAAAACAUUAAAUGCUGGCCUGUGAUAUCUCUUUGCAAACAUUGUCAUUGCCAGGCUUUUCCAGCCUUGCAGCCUCUCUCUCUUCUCAUGUUGUAGCAGUCCUCCUUUGCCUGUUGUAAAUAAGCUAGACAGUAAUACUCUGGCAUGCUGGCCCUGUGAUUCUGUCU